ensembl:miRNA
AGUCUAGUUACUAGGCAGUGUAGUUAGCUGAUUGAUGGUAGUACCAAUCACUAACCACACGGCCAGGUAAAAAGACU